rnacentral:lncRNA from 1 species
UCUCAGAUCAAAGUGGCCAUGAUCUUUCUCGGAUCAAAUCAUUCAUGAUCUUUCUCGGAUCAGAUUCUUCCACACAUAAGCCUGUGGGGGCUGUCCCAGGCAUAAGCUCCUGGCAGGUUAUUCCACAUGACAAGGCCAGUCCAAACCAUAUUUCUCUUUCUUUUCAUUUUCAUGAAAUUAUAAUAUUUGACUUCAUUAAUCAAUUCAAAUUUU